CUGGCUCAGGAUGAACGCUGGCGGCGUGCUUAACACAUGCAAGUCGAACGAAGCUCCCGAUUUGAGUUUCGGACAAGAUGAAGGGAUGACUUAGUGGCGGACGGGUGAGUAAUGCGUGAGCAACCUGCCCUUCAGUGGGGGACAACAGUUGGAAACGACUGCUAAUACCGCAUAAAGUAUUCGGAAGGCAUCUUUUGAAUACCAAAGAUUUUAUCGCUGAAGGAUGGGCUCACGUCUGAUUAGCUAGUUGGUGAGGUAAUGGCUCACCAAGGCUGCGAUCAGUAGCCGGACUGAGAGGUUGACCGGCCACAUUGGGACUGAGAUACGGCCCAGACUCCUACGGGAGGCAGCAGUGGGGAAUAUUGGGCAAUGGGCGCAAGCCUGAACCCCAGCAACGCCGCGUGAAGGAAGAAGGCUUUCGGGUUGUAAACUUCUUUUAGCAGGGACGAAACAAAUGACGGUACCUGCAGAAUAAGCACCGGCUAACUACGUGCCAGCAGCUGC
rnacentral:rRNA from 1 species